UACGGAGGGUGCGAGCGUUGUUCGGAAUUACUGGGCGUAAAGGGCGCGUAGGCGGCCUGUUAAGUCGAACGUGAAAUCCCUAGGCUCAACCUAGGAACUGCGUCCGAUACUGGCAGGCUUGAAUCCGGGAGAGGGAUGUGGAAUUCCAGGUGUAGCGGUGAAAUGCGUAGAUAUCUGGAGGAACACCGGUGGCGAAGGCGGCAUCCUGGACCGGUAUUGACGCUGAGGCGCGAAAGCCAGGGGAGCGAACGGG
rnacentral:rRNA from 1 species